AAAUUGAAAUGACUGCGUCCCUGCGUGAGGCAACGAUGAUUUUAGCUUCUGCUUAAACCCUAGUGUCUUCCCAACCCAAAUUAUCAAAAAUUGGAAAAUGAAGAUAGCUGUAGAGGGAUGUAUGCAUGGAGAUCUGGACAUCGUCUACCAAACAAUCCAACACAUGGAAAGAUUGAACGGCAUCAAAAUCGACCUUCUUCUCUGUUGCGGCGAUUUCCAGGCUGUGAGGAAUGCGAGAGACAUGGAGAGCUUAAAUGUGCCGCCUAAAUAUCGCGAGAUGAAGUCAUUUUGGAAGUACUAUUCAGGACAAGAAGUCGCUCCGAUUCCGACCAUUUUCAUCGGUGGGAACCAUGAAGCUUCCAAUUAUUUAUGGGAACUAUAUUAUGGAGGAUGGGCAGCCCCUAAUAUUUACUUCUUGGGAUUUGCUGGGGUGGUCAAGUUUGGCAACGUACGUAUAGGUGGCCUUUCUGGGAUUUAUAAUGCGCGAGAUUAUCGUUUAGGACACCAUGAGAGGCCUCCCUAUAAUGAGAAUACUAUAAGGUCUGUAUAUCACGUUCGUGAGUAUGAUGUCCACAAACUCAUGCAAGUUGAGGAACCCAUUGAUAUUUUUCUUUCACAUGAUUGGCCUCUUGGAAUCACUGAUUGUGGGAACUGGCAGCAACUAGUUAGAUAUAAACGACAUUUUGAAAAUGAGAUUCGGGAAAGAACUCUUGGAAGUAAAGCAGCUGCUCAGCUGCUGGAAAAGUUGAGGCCUCCUUAUUGGUUUUCGGCUCACUUGCACUGCAAAUUUGCUGCCCUUGUUCAACAUGGGGAAGGUGGCCCAACAACAAAAUUUCUAGCACUUGAUAAGUGUCUUCCAAGGCGCAAAUUUUUGCAGAUUAUUGAUAUAGAAUCAGAAUCUGGACCUUAUGAGAUUCAGUAUGAUGAAGAAUGGCUGGCAAUAACCAGGAAGUUCAACCCUAUCUUUCCGUUAACAUAUAAAAAUGCAAAUUUUGGUGGUACACAGAUUGAGAUGCAAGAUUGUCGACAAUGGGUUAGGAGCAGGCUGCAAACAAGAGGGGCCAAACCUUUUGAAUUUGCACAGACUGUUCCUUCUUAUGAUCCCAGCCAACUUGACUCAAAUAAUUUGUCUUUUGAUUGUCCUAGGAAUCCUCAAACAGAAUCUUUAUUGCAGCUUUUGGAACUCCCUUAUCUUCUUGAUAGUGUAUCAGAAUCAAGGGGAACAACUUAUGAUCUUACCCCAUUAAUAAGGGGAGCCUCUUCUGUUGAGAAUAGUGAAGAAAUUCCCAUUGAUGAUGUGGAUGAGUUAGAAGAAUCCGCAGAGGUUGAUGAUACAGAAACUUGAAACGAGUAAUUUGGGAACUUGGACAAGGGUAAUAAUAUCUUUUUACCAUCUUUCUUUUUUCGGCUAAAGCUGUUAUCAUAUCUAGCUCAGAUUGUGAGCCUUCCUUUCCCCCUCGUUCUCUCUCUCUGUCUCUCUCUCUCUUCAUUGUGAAAUGUUUAAUGAGUUAUGCUGAUUUUUCUUUGUUGAAAAUAUGUAAUUGAUUAACCAAUAUGCUUAUGAAACACUUGAGAGCUUGUAAUUCAAGGAACAAAAGUAGUAAAUGGGGAGAAGAUGAAAUAUUGUUGUUCUCAUCUAUGAUGCUGCAUGUGAAAGAGUGAGUAUUGCAGUCAAUGAGUUGCAGAUGCAAACGAGUUGGUUCACCAACUUUGCAUCCAUGAAUGAUGGCUGAAGGAACCCACAGAUAAAGAUGAAGCCGUGUUUGAGGUGUUGAAUUUCGCUGUCCCAUGCAAACGAUGAUGAUUAUUGAUGGACAAAGAGCAGAAACUGAAGAUUAUACUUUUAGCUCAAAUUACCACCCUAGUGGUUCUAAGUCAUGUCAGUUUGCUUUGGGUUUUUCAAUUUAUAAUGAAUACCCGCUUCCACUGAUUGGAAUACUAUUCUCCCAGCAAGUACCGUUGAGUGUCAUAUAUAUGUGAUUAAAAACAUUUACACACAAUACUCUUCUCGCUCUCUCCUCUGUGUAUCUCCAGUAUUAAUGGUAGCUGGAAAUCUAGUGAAAUUUUGAAUUGUUAGUUUUA